rnacentral:rRNA from 1 species
AUGGUGAAGAGGAGGCGAGCUCCUGGCGCUAGCUGCGGGGUGUUGUGCGGGUGUGUGUGUGUGCGCGGCGGCGCUGGCUGGGGGAAGACGCGGCCAUGGCAGGGCGGCGCACGGGAGAAUCGCAGCGAGGAGAAGGGAGCAGAGGAAGAUCGAGCAGGAGGUGGCUGCGCCGCGGGAGGGAAAGGGGAGAUGGAAUCGAGCGCAGGGCUCCUGGCGGCGCUGGGGAGAUGCGAGGGAGAUGAGGGUCGGGCCAGGGAGAGGUUUAGGGUUAGGAAAGGAGUGGGGGUAGAUGGGCCUGCUGGGCCUCGAGGAAGCAGGCCGGCCUGGCUGCUGGUUCCCUCUCCCUCUAAAUUCUUUCCUUUAUAA